rnacentral:rRNA from 1 species
CCCUUAGAUGUUCUGGGCCGCACGCGUGCUACACUGAGUGGAUCAGCGGGUCAGGUUGCGCGAAAGCGUUUCCUAAUCUUUAAAUCCGCUCGUGAUGGGGAUUGACGGUUGCAACUUUCUGUCAUGAACGAGGAAUACCUUGUAAGCGCGGGUCAUCAUCCCGCGCUGAAUACGUCCCUGCCCUUUGUACACACCGCCCGUCGCUCCUACCGAUUGAGUGGUCCGGUGAGGCUUUGGGAUCUGAGCGGAAAGAGCGUUUCGCUGUUUCUGCUCGGAAAACUCAGUCGAACCUUAUCAUUUAGAGGAAGGAGAAGUCGUAACA